CGGACUGUAGCGCAGCUUGGUAGCGCACCGUCAUGUGGUGUCGGGGUCGGAGGUUCAAAUCCUCUCAGUCCGACCA
rnacentral:tRNA from 1 species